rnacentral:rRNA from 1 species
UGCGAAGGGGGCUAGCGUUGCUCGGAAUCACUGGGCGUAAAGGGUGCGUAGGCGGGUCUUUAAGUCAGGGGGGAAAUCCUGGAGCUCAACUCCAGAACUGCCUUUGAUACUGAAGAUCUUGAGUUCGGGAGAGGUGAGUGGAACUGCGAGUGUAGAGGUGAAAUUCGUAGAUAUUCGCAAGAACACCAGUGGCGAAGGCGGCUCACUGGCCCGAUACUGACGCUGAGGCACGAAAGCGUGGGGAGCAAACAGG